rnacentral:rRNA from 1 species
UACGAAGGGGGGCUAGCGUUGUUCGGAAUUACUGGGCGUAAAGCGCGCGCAGGCGGUCUUCCAAGUCAGUGGUGAAAGCCCGGAGCUCAACUCCGGAACUGCCAUUGAAACUGUAAGACUUGAGGACGAGAGAGGUGAGUGGAAUUCCCAGUGUAGAGGUGAAAAUUCGUAGAUAUUGGGAAGAACACCAGUGGCGAAAGGCGGCUCACUGGCUCGUAUCUGACGCUCAGGCGCGACAGCGUGGGGAUCAAACAGG